CCUACGGGGCGCAGCAGUGAGGAAUAUUGGUCAAUGGGCGGAAGCCUGAACCAGCCAAGUCGCGUGAGGGAAUAAGGCCCUACGGGUCGUAAACCUCUUUUGCCGGGGAGCAAGGGCGGGGACGUGUCCCGGCCCGGAGAGUACCCGGAGAAAAAGCAUCGGCUAACUCCGUGCCAGCAGCCGCGGUAAUACGGAGGAUGCGAGCGUUAUCCGGAUUUAUUGGGUUUAAAGGGAGCGUAGGUGGAUUGUUAAGUCAGUUGUGAAAGUUUGCGGCUCAACCGUAAAAUUGCAGUUGAAACUGGCAG
rnacentral:rRNA from 1 species